GGAAGUAAAAGUCGUAACAAGGUCUCCGUUGGUGAACCAGCGGAGGGAUCAUUACCGAGUUAUACAACUCCCAAACCCACUGUGAACCUUACCUCAGUUGCCUCGGCGGGAACGCCCCGGCCGCCUGCCCCCGCGCCGGCGCCGGACCCAGGCGCCCGCCGCAGGGACCCCAAACUCUCUUGCAUUACGCCCAGCGGGCGGAAUUUCUUCUCUGAGUUGCACAAGCAAAAACAAAUGAAUCAAAACUUUCAACAACGGAUCUCUUGGUUCUGGCAUCGAUGAAGAACGCAGCGAAAUGCGAUAAGUAAUGUGAAUUGCAGAAUUCAGUGAAUCAUCGAAUCUUUGAACGCACAUUGCGCCCGCCAGCAUUCUGGCGGGCAUGCCUGUUCGAGCGUCAUUUCAACCCUCGAGCCCCCCCCGGGGCCUCGGUGUUGGGGGACGGCACACCAGCCGCCCCCGAAAUGCAGUGGCGACCCCGCCGCAGCCUCCCCUGCGUAGUAGCACACACCUCGCACCGGAGCGCGGAGGCGGUCACGCCGUAAAACGCCCAACUUUCUUAGAGUUGACCUCGGAUCAGGUAGGAAUACCCGCUGAACUUAAGCAUAUCAAUAAGCGGAGGA
rnacentral:rRNA from 1 species